rnacentral:pre_miRNA from 1 species
AAAGUAAAUCUCGUGCGGCUUGUUUUUAUUCCAAGCUGUAAGAGAUUCACUUAGA